rnacentral:misc_RNA from 1 species
UCCUCUCUCUUCAUUGUUUUUCUGAAAGAAGGCAUUUUUACUAAAUAUUAACCAACAAUCCUCCCGGGAUAAUUUUCUUACUUUGAAUAAAUAACCUCUCCUGCAACCCAUGUUCCCUGGUGCAUUCUCAUCUUUACUGGAAGCCAAAAUACUGCUUCCUACUGAAGCGAUGUGAAAGAGUCUCACAUUUGUUCCCACUUGCUGGGACCAUCUUCCCACACAUUAUCCAAGACAAGCAGAAAUCUUUUCCCCUUAAUUAACUUUUGGGCUUGUUGCAUUAUAGCUUCAAAUUCAACAAAAAAUGACUACUAGUUACAAAAUUAAUAGGGUGAAAUUAACUUUUGGGCUUGUUGCAUUAUAGCUUCAAAUUCAACAAAAAAUGA